rnacentral:tRNA from 1 species
GGAGAAGUGUCCGAGCUGGUCUAAGGGGCACGACUGGAACUCGUGUAAGCGUUGAUAGCGCCCGAGGGUUCGAAUCCCUCCUUCUCCGCCA